CCCGCGCGGCGGAAGAAGGGCGCAGCGUCCCCUCCCCUACGGGGGUCGGUUUGGAAGCUGUGCCUAGCAUCGACGAGGCCCAAGGGAGCGGAAAUGGGUCCUGGCCGCACCCCGCGCGUUGCGGAUUGGAACCUGAGCAAAAUUUUGCAGAACUCAGAGAAAGCCAGCCCAGGAAGUGAUGAGGGUAUUGACAAUCGGAAAGGCUUCAUGUAACGGCAAGGCCCCUGGCUGAGUGGGUAGCAGGAAAGGACAAAGUUGCUUUGGAAGAAACAGACACCUGACUACCCACACUCAUGGGAGGCUUCACGCGCACCUAGGGCUGUCGGACAAAUGUGACUGUCAGAUAAACCAUGAAUAAUUUCUCGUAUUGUGCAACAUUUGGGCCAUACUUAUACUAAAAAUUAAUGCGUGGCUUAUCUGAAAUUUAAAUUUAACUGGAUGUCUUGUAUUUUUAUUUGCUAAAUCUGCCAACCCGGUGUGUGCCAGGCGUGACCCCACAUGGUGCUGGGAAUUCAGUGAUGACGGGGACAGAGCUCAUUGUCAGGUGAGGCACAGGAAGGGGUGAUACGGGCCACGGCAGGAGAGCUCAGUCUGUUGGGAGUGGAGGUACUGGGAGGUGGACCUCUGCUGGGCCAGCCUGAGUCCAUGAAGGAGGCCGAAAGUCAGGGGAAGAUGUUUUCUUCCUUCCGUCAGUAAAUACUGUGUUCCUAUUCAGUGCCAGUCUCUGUGCUGAGUACUGGGCACAGGGCAACAACCAAGACAAACUACCCACCCUCAUGUGGCAUCUCAGGGGAGUGGGCAGGAGAGACUACAGACAUGCGUGCAAACCUGCAGCUAAACUUCAGACAUGGUCACGAUGAGCUGGAGGCUGGGCUGGUUAUCAGGGAGGCCCACUGCAAGGAGGUGGCAUUUCAUUCAACUCAUAUCUACUGAGAAUCUUCCUAGGGCCAGGCACAAACCCU